CAUGAGACUGCUGAUAUUGGACAGCCAAUGUGGUACGGUAGCAUUGAGAUGGUAAUUCUCAGAGAGAUAAAGCAUGGUGAGCGAUGUGAGAUUAACAUGUGAUAUAGAAGCAGAUGCAAUAGGGAGGUCAGUAUCGGACAAACACAAGUCUAACAGAGAAGAGAGCAUGUUAAUCUCAUCAAGCCAGUUGGCUGCCUUUGAGAGGUUGACGCCGCUCAAGUCAAGCGAGUGCAAAGAAGGGA
rnacentral:lncRNA from 1 species